AGGAUGAACGCUGGCGGCGUGCCUAACACAUGCAAGUCGAACGUCCUGUCUCGCAAGAGGCAGGGAGUGGCGGACGGGUGAGUACCACGUGGGUUAUCUACCGUGAGGUGAGGAAUACCGGCGAGAAAUCGCCGACAAGACCGCAUAGCCUCGGUGCAAGCCGAGGAAAGCUUUCUCGAGAGAGGGAGCGCCACACGAGGAGCCUGCGCCCGAUUAGCUAGCUGGUGGAGUAACGGUUCACCAGGGCGACGAUCGGUAGCUGGUCUGAGAGGACGAUCAGCCACACUGGGAUUGAGAACGGCCCAGACUCCUACGGGGGGCAGCAGUGAGGAAUUUUCGUCAAUGGGGCAACCCUGAACGAGCAACGCCGCGUGCAGGAAGAAGGUUUUCGGAUCGUAAACUGCUUUUCUCGGGGAAGAGAACGGACGGUACCCGAGGAAUCGAGCCCCGGCUAACUACGUGCCAGCAGCCGC
rnacentral:rRNA from 1 species